rnacentral:lncRNA from 1 species
CCCCAGGCUGGAGUGCGAUGGCGUGAUCUCUGCUCGCUGCAACCUCCGCCUCCCAGGUUCAAGCGAUUCUCCUGCCUCAGCCUCCCAAGUAGCUGGGAUUACAGGCUCCUGCCACCAUGCCCAGAUAAUUUUUCUAUUUUUAGUAGAGACGGGGUUUCACCAUCUUGGCCAGGCUGGUCUUGAACUCCUGACGUCAGGUGAUCUACCCGCCUCAGCCUCCCAAAGUGCUGGGAUUACAGGCGUGAGCCACCGCACCCAGCCCACAGUGUCUUUUAUAACUUAAUCUGGAAAUUGUUAUCCCAUCACUUUCACCACAUUUCUGUGCACUAGAAGUCACUAGGUCCAGCUUAUUCAAGAGGAGGAGAUAACACGAGCACAUGAAUACCAGGUGGCAAUCUUUGGGGGCCGUCUUAGAAGUCUGCUGACCAUAGUCAGAAAGGAGAGAAUACAAAGGUAAAGUGCAGAGCUGUUGCUGGAGGGAGUCAGGUGGCUUCCUGGAGGAGGUGGGGCUUAUGCUAGGACCUAGGUGUUCUGGUUAUCUAAUGCUGUGUAGCAAAUUAGCCCGAGAAAGAAAGAGGGGGACGGAAGGAUGAAGGAGGGAGAGGAGGGACAUAGACACAGCAGGUGUACCAUGAACACCCUAUCCAAGGCAGCUAGUUGAGCUCCCCAGAGCCAGGGCACAACUCUGCUAUUAUCCUUAACUCCUGGCUAUGUUUCCUUCUUUGGAAGGAGUGUUGGGAAAGGCACCUAGCUUGUAAGAAUUCAAUAUUCCACCUCAAUCUAAAGCUUUACUGUUUCCCUCUGUAUGCUUUUGGGCAUCUGGAUCAUGACUGGGGAGAACAGAACUUGCACCUUGGAAGCCCAUGGUCUCCUUCCCACUGCCAUCCCUACCUCUUCCCACAGAUGACCACUAGCCUUGCAUUUCUUCCUAGUUUAGUACAUAGUAUGUAUCCCUAGAUACAUAAUAUCUAUAUAAUGUAUAUGUAAUAUCUGUAUUGUUUCGUUUUGCUUGUUUUUGAAGUGUC